UGAGAUCCCUGGUGUACAGCUGUGGAGGCUUGUCGGCAGCUCUGGAGAGUGUCGGAACAAGUCCGAGUCGCGUUGGCGUCAAAUAGACGCAAAACGGACUCCGUGCGACGCGAUGACAGCUUAUAGCGAAGAAAUCUGCAAAACAGCAGAUUUCUCUGCUUGCUGUACCGGUACAACCAGCGUGGCUGUGCCGGUACAACCAGCGCGCACCCGCUUAGUUGCUCUCGGGUUGGCUCUUGUACCGGUACAGGAGCCCGUGUACCGGUACAAGAGGGUAGGUAGAGGGCUAAAUGGGUCAUUUUAUCCCUCGUUUGGAUCACCGACUCUCCCUCUCUCUAUAUAGGAUGGUGUUGAGCUGAGAGAGAGAGACUUCUUGCUUCUUCUCUUCUCUCUCUAGGCUCGUUUGAGGAAGAAGCUCGGUUGGAAGGUUUGUCGCCGACGUCGCGCCGCGGGACCGUUCGAGCACACUUUUUCGCCGGGGUAGCGCGAGGAGGCCGGGCGAGCGUGGGUUUUCACCGUUCUUGCUGUCGCAUCGGGGCUUGGCGUUGUCGAGGUGGGUAAUUCAGCAUUUUCAUUUGUUUCUGGGCAAGUUCUUAUACUUCGAAUUCAAGUGAUGCUGUUUUGCUGAAAUUCAUCGUCGACUGUUAGUAUUUCAGCUCGCGCUCGACGCUGGAGCAUCGGAUUUCGACGAGACUUGGUUUGCUGGAUUCAGAACUUCGAGAGGAAUCCACGAAGCCCUUACUUGCGGGAUUUGGUGAAGGUUAGCUUGGUCGAAACUCUGUAUUUUGAUUUUUGAACUAUGUAUAUGAAGCUCAGUUUGUUUAGCUCUUGCUACUCUAGUAGCUCUCUACUACUGUUCGUAGUAGUGUAUGAUUUACAGGUACAACAAUCGCUUCUUAUAUAGGAAAAACUCCUUUGUAUACGCGGGUUUGUCGGCGUGCCCAGGGAACGAGACAUCCGGAGCGUGGCAGAUUAAGUUGGUAUCAGAGCUUAGCAUUAGGUCGUUGGGACCUAAAAAACCUAAGUUUGGCAAACCUUAGGAAAGCAAGACGCGAGAGGCGUAAUUUAAUUGCGAAAGUCAAUGAUUAAUUGUUCUAACUCCUUCGAGAGUGGGGUGAGUGACUGAAGGAGUUUUGUUUUGGCCUGAAAAAUUAUGCUGGCUGCAGACGACAUAAUUUUGGAGGAAAACAGGGACCGUCUUCCAGACUUUCGUUGAUUGGGUCGAGAGUGUUGUGUUUCAUCUGACCCCGAUUUGUUUCUUGCAGCUAUGUAUCGUCGCCGAGGUCGACCGUCGCUACGGGAGCGUGCCCAGUUGGCGCAGGAUCGUGCUAGAUCUCCCGAGAUGCCUGAGCAGGCAGAGCCGAGUGGAUCACCAGAGGUGAGGGCACCCCCAGUUGUUGAGCAGAGGGCCCGACCGGAGGUGAGUGCGUCCCCGGAUUUGAGUGCACAGUUAGCCGCUCUGACAGAGGUGACGAGGCGGCAGGGGGAGUUGUUGGAGAGGCUGUGCGAGAGGAUAGCUCCGUCAUUGAGUACAGUACCGAGAGCACCAGAGCAGGCCAUUCCGCCUCCGACUACUCCAGCGUCAGCACCAGCCGCAGCUAUGCCCCCACCAGUGGAGCUUCCUGCAGCGCUAGUUGCGCCUGCUAGGGGGCCGGUACAGUUGACAGAGGCCGAGCAGGAGCGGUGGACAGAGAGGUUGGCCCGUUUCCGCCUUUUCGAUCCGCCGAUCUUUGAUGACAGUUGUACUGAGGCCUGGGUUGUUGAGAGAUGGGUCAGUGCGAUGGAAAAGUUAUUUGAGGAUUUGUUUAUUCCCGAGGGGGAGCAGGUGUCUUUCGGAGUCCAUUGCUUGGCAGGUGAUGUCCAUGCCUGGUGGAGGAGAGUGAGGAGAGAGCAGGAACUGGUAGCUUUGCAGCUGAGAUGGGAUGAGUUCUGUGGAAUGCUGUUUGGGAUGUUCUUUCCCAACAGUGUGAAACAGAAGCUCGAAGAGGAUUUAAAGAGGAUUCAGCAGGGAGAUCGACCAGUGCAGGAGUAUAUUCGGGAGUUUACUCGAUUCCUGAACUGUGUGCCAUUUGUGGCCAGGGACGAGGCACACAGGGUAUAUUUGUUUGAGCAGGGGCUGAGACCCGACAUCUUCAGGUUGACGCGGACGCAGAGGUCGAGGACCCUGGAUGCGUCCAUUGAGUAGGCCUUGUGGAUAGAGAGAGGUGAGGUGUCACUGUUGGAGAGGACUCAGGCCGCGGGGUAGAGUCAGGACAAGAAGCGCCCCUUUUAAGAUGAGGCUGGACCGUCGAGCAGUAGGCGUCCGCCGAGGCCUCCACGAUCACGCUCUCAGGGUCGUGGGCCUUCGGGACGUCAGCGUACCAGGGGAUCCCGUCAGCAGGGACAGACCCAGAGGACACCGCAGUGUGUUAUCUGCGGGGGACCACACUGGCCCCGGCAGUACGAGCAGAGAAAGGGCAGGUGUUAUGGUCGUGGUCAGCCUGGACACAUGAGGGCAGCUUGUCCCCGAGCAGCAUCUCCAGCACCAUCAUCAGCUUCAGCACCACCAGCACCUUAGCAGUCUUACGGAGCAGCGCCAAGUUACCGCCAGAAGGAUAGAUCGUCAGUGCCGCGGCCGAGCGAGCGGCGACAGGAGGCACCGAGUGGCAGGGUUUACGCAGCUCAGGUGGAGGACUCUACGGCAGCCGACCAAGUGGUGGCAGGUAUUACUUUGAUUUCUAGCAUUGGAGUUCGCACUCUUUUUGAUACUGGUGCAUCGCAUUUCUUUAUUAGCCGAGCAUUUGCACAGUUACACGGUCUAGAGUUAGGAGCGUUGUCUCAAGCACGAGAGGUGCAGAUCUCAGACCAUGUGUUACAGGUUGCAGAGUGUUGUUGGUCGUGUCCGGUGCAGUUGGAUUCUUGGAUCAUCCCCGCAGACCUGUUGGUGUUAGGGCAGCUGCAGGACUUCGACGUUGUGCUCGGUAUGAAUUGGCUGGCGCGGUACUAUGCUACGAUAGACUGUGGAGCGAGGACUGUGACGUUCCGCGAGCCAGGCCAGGAGGAGUUUACUUUCAGAGGCUGCAGGAGCAUGCUGUUUGCCACCUGGAUAUCUUCGGCGAGAGCUCGACAAAUGCUGAGUAGUGGGUGUAUCGCUUUCCUAGCUACAGUUGUGGAAGUAUCUACAGCGGCGCCGGGACUCGAGGAUAUUCCAGUAGUCCGCGAGUUUCCGGAUGUGUUUCUCCCUGAGUUGACGACGUUGCCGCCGGAGAGGGAGAUUGAGUUUGUGAUUGAUGUAGUUCCUGGAAUUGCACCAAUCUCGAAGGUACCUUAUCGGAUGGCGCCGGCAGAGCUGAGGGAGCUAAAGACGCAGCUGCAGGAUUUGAUGAAUAGAGGGUUUGUGAGACCCAGUGUUUCGCCUUGGGGACCGCCAGUGUUGUUUGUGAAGAAGAAUGAUGGUUCACUUAGGCUGUGUGUGGAUUACCGUGAGCUGGAUAAAGUGACCAUCAAGAAUAUGUAUUCCUUGCCGCGUAUUGAUGAUUUGUUUGAUCAGCUGCACGGAUCUUAUGUCUUUUCGAAGAUUGAUCUCCAGUCAGGUUACCACCAGUUGAGGGUGAGGGCCGAGGAUGUUCCCAAGGCGGCUUUUCGGACUGGGUACGGGCAUUAUGAGUUCACAGUGAUACCUUUUGGAUUGACGAAUGCCCCUGCCGCAUUCAUGGAUUUGAUGAACAGAGCGUUCAAGCCGUUCUUGGAUAGAUUUGUGGUAGUCUUCAUCGACGAUAUCCUGAUUUACUCCCGGAGUGAUGCUGAGUAUGAGGAGCACUUGAGGAUUGUGCUACAGCUUCUGCGAGAGAAGAAGCUGUAUGCCAAGUUAAAGAAGUGCGAGUUCUGGCUACGGGAGGUUGCUUUCUUGGGCCACGUGAUUUCAGCUAAGGGCGUAGCAGUGGACCCGAGGAAGAUUGAGGCAAUUCGAGAUUGGCCUAGACCGACAACGGUGACUGAGGUACGGAGCUUCCUGGGACUUGCAGGAUAUUACCGUCGGUUUGUGGAAGGCUUUGCGAAGCUUUCCACACCCGUCACACGCUUGACGCCGAAGGGGAUUCGUUUUGUCUGGAGCGACGACUGUCAGAGGAGCUUUGAUGAGUUGAGAUUGAGGUUGACGUCAGCUCCUAUCCUUGCCCUUCCUGUUAUGGGCGAAGGAUUCGUGAUCUACAGUGAUGCAUCGCACAGUAGACUUGGUUGCGUGUUGAUGCAGCAUGGUAGGGUAAUUGCUUAUGCUUCACGGCAGUUAAAGGAUUAUGAGAAGAAUUACCCUACGUAUGACUUAGAGCUUGCCGCGGUGGUUUUUGCUUUGAAGCUUUGGCGGCAUUACUUGUACGGCGAGCACUGCGAGGUUUUCACCGAUCAUAAAAGUCUCAAGUAUCUGUUCACACAGAGGGAGCUGAACCUGAGGCAGCGCCGGUGGUUGGAGUUACUGAAGGACUAUGACAUUAGUAUUCAGUAUCAUCCCGGCAGGGCGAAUGUGGUGGCAGAUGCGCUGAGCAGGAAAGCAGUGCAGAGCCUGAGUUUGACGAUCACUGAGCAGAGACCACUACUCGAGGAGCUGCAGCGGCUGGGACUCGAGAUAGUACCCCCUGGUUCUACGGCGAGGUUGACAUCUCUAGUUUUGCAGCCCACUCUGUUGGAUAGGAUCCGAGAGAAACAGAGUGGAGAUCCGUACAUGUUGAGGAUUAGAGAGCAGCUAGACAGGGGGCAGGCUGAGGGUUUUGCUUUAGACAGUUCGGGAGUACGACGGUACAGGGACCGACUGUGUGUGCCUGUGGAUUCAGAGAUCCGAGCGGAUAUUCUGAGAGAGGCUCAUUGUUCUCCUUAUACGGUUCACCCUGGGGGAACCAAAAUGUAUAAGAAUUUAAAGGCACAGUUCUGGUGGCCUGGAAUAAAGAGAGACAUUGGCAGAUAUGUGGCUCAAUGUUUGACUUGUCAACAGGUAAAGGCUGAGCAUCAAGUGCCUGCUGGCAAGCUUUAGAGUCUGCCAGUGCCAGAGUGGAAGUGGGAGUACAUCACGAUGGACUUCGUCGUUGGAUUGCCUAGAGCACAGGGUGGCUAUGAUGCUAUUUGGGUUAUAGUGGACAGACUGACCAAGUCUGCUCACUUCCUACCGGUUCAGACUACCUGGUCCAGAGAGAGACUCGCGCAGCUAUACUUGGAUGAGAUCGUCAGGCUGCACGGCGUGCCAGUAUCGAUUGUAUCAGACCGAGACCCGAGGUUUGUGUCGCAUUUCUGGAGGAGUUUACAGACAGCUUUGGGGACUCAGUUACAUUUCAGCACUGCUUUUCACCCACAGACAGAUGGUCAGUCAGAGCGGACCAUUCAGACUCUAGAGGACAUACUGAGGGCAUGCGUCCUGGACUUUGGAAGAGGGUGGUAUCGACAUUUAAGACUAGCAAAGUUUGCGUACAACAACAGCUAUCAAACGAGCAUUCAGAUGGCUCCGUUUGAAGCGUUGUAUGGACGCAAGUGUCGAUCCCCGUUGUUUUGGAGCGAUGUGGGUGAGAGGAGGACACUUGGGCCUGAGUUGUUGCCAGAGGCUGAGGAGAAGGUGAGAGUUGUUCGAUGACACCUUCUAACAGCCCAGAGCCGACAGAGGAGCUACGCCGAUACCAGGAGACGAGAUUUGGAGUUCCAGGUUGGAGAUCAUGUGUUCCUAAAAGUCUCGCCGUCCAGAGGGAUACGCCGAUUUGGAGUACGUGGAAAGCUCAGUCCACGUUUUGUUGGCCCAUUCGAGGUAUUGGAGCGAGUCGGACUGGUGGCAUACAGGAUAGCUCUACCCCCCGCGACUUGCGGGCAUUCACAAUAUUUUUCACGUCUCAGCUUUGAGGAGAUAUGUUUUCGAUCCUUCUCACGUGAUUGACUUCACUCCACUCGAGAUUGGUGAGGAUCUGAGAUACGAGGAGCGACCGUUGCGGAUUCUUGCUCGGGAGACGAAAGAAUUGUGCAACCGGGUCAUCCCGUAUGUGAAAGUGCAGUGGAGCAAUCACCAGGAGCGGGAGGCGACUUGGCAGCCUGAGACGGUGAUGAGGGAGGCCUAUCCCUAUUUGUUUGAUGCCUGAGCAGAGGUACGUUUCAGUUUCGCGGACGAAAUUUUUUGUAGAGGGGGAGGAUGUGAGAUCCCUAGUGUACACCUGUGGAGGCUUGUCGGCAGCUCUGGAGAGUGUCGGGACAAGUCCGAGUCGCGUUGGCGUCAAAUAGACGCAAAACGGACUCCGUGCGACGCGAUGGCAGCUUAUAGCGAAGAAAUCUGCAAAACAGCAGAUUUCUCUGCUUGCUGUACCGAUACAACCAGCGUGGCUGUACCGGUACAACCAGCGCGCACCCGCUUAGUUGCUCUUGGG
rnacentral:lncRNA from 1 species